UGGCCCCAAAUUGUUGAGGUCUGGUGAUGCUGCCAUUGUUGACAUGGUCCCAGGAAAGCCCAUGUGUGUUGAGAGCUUCUCUGACUAUUCUCCACUUUGUCAUUUUGCUGUUCAUGACAUGAGGCAGACAGUUGCUGUGGGUUCAUCAAAGCUGUGGACAAGAAGCCUGCAGGAGUUGGCAAAGUCAGCAAGUCUGCCCAGAAAGCUCAGAAGGCUAAAUGAAUAUUAUCCCUAACACCUGCCACCCCAGUCUUAAUCAGUGGUGGAAGAAUGGUCUCAGAACUAUUUGUCUCAAUUGGCCAUUUAAGGUUAAUAGUAAAAGACUGGUUAAUGAUAACAAUGCAUCAUAAAACCUUCAGAAGGAAAGAAUGUUUUGUGUACCUUUUUUUUCUGUGUGUAGCAGUUUUAAGUUAUUAGUUUUAAAAAUCAGUACUUUUUAAUGGGAACAACUUGACCAAAAAUCUGUCACAGAAUUUUGAGACCCAUUAAAACAAGUUUAAUGAG
rnacentral:lncRNA from 1 species